UACGGAGGGAGCUAGCGUUGUUCGGAAUUACUGGGCGUAAAGCGCACGUAGGCGGCGAUUUAAGUCAGAGGUGAAAGCCCGGGGCUCAACCCCGGAGUAGCCUUUGAGACUGGAUUGCUUGAAUCUUGGAGAGGUGAGUGGAAUUCCGAGUGUAGAGGUGAAAUUCGUAGAUAUUCGGAAGAACACCAGUGGCGAAGGCGGCUCACUGGACAAGUAUUGACGCUGUGGUGCGAAAGCGUGUGGAGCAAUCAGG
rnacentral:rRNA from 1 species